CCCCACAGCCACCCCGAAAAGAAUCAAAAUAACGUAGGGCACAAAUAGCUAUUUACUUAACUACACUGAUUAGUGUCUGGCUGGUUAACUUUAUGCCCAUUAAUCCACAUACCAGACUGGACAAGGAAAAGGAAAAUAGGAAACAUGUACUGUCACAGUUCCAGGGCAACUGCUCCCUGACUCCUUUGAAGCCUCCUGGAGGUCCCACUCUCAGGGCAGCGACUUGCUCCUGUUCCUCUCCUUCAGGUCAGGGAUUUAGGCUGCAAUUCCCUUCUUAAUUUUUGGUGCUUAUCCCAGGAGCUCAAACUUAAGGGCUUAUCUUUCCUUACCUGGAAAUUGAUGCUCUGGAGAUCCAUCUCCUGGGGUUCAAUUUAGCAGAUCUUAUAGGGACCCACUAAAUUGACUGCUCAUGGCACCUUCGUUGACUCUGGUACUUUGCUGGGUCAUGAGGAGUAAGGAGUAAGGGAAGUUGAUGGGAUAGUUUCUCCCAUCAACUCCCCGCAGUGGGGACACCUCGGUAAGUCGAGCUAAGGUACGUUGACUCCAGCUACAUUAUUAACAUAGCUGGAGUUGCGUAACUUAGGCCAGGUAUUAGGCAGGAGAAAGUUGAACUAAGUCUGGUGCCUGCCAUUCUGCUCUCUUUCAGGAGCUACGGCAGUGACCAGCCAGCUUUCACGGUACAUGUAUUUAGGACUAAAGCACUACAGAGAAAGCAUAUAAUACAAGGCUAUGCUCACAUGCUUAGCUUACCAGGAAGCGCUCAUCUUUCACAUGGAGAUCCUGAUUGGCUUUGAAGUCCAUGAACCCUUCCACCAGGACUUUGCUCUCUUGGUAAAAGUCUCCUGUCAGAGGAGUGGCAAUAUGUGCCAUUGCAAAUAACAGGGAAUUCCCAGUAAGUGCCCUUGAAGAAGCCAUGAAAGGGCCAAAGGUGCACGUACCCCAGAACUCUGACAAACAAUUUGCCCUGUUGCUGAAAUACCCUUUUUAAAAAUUUGGAAUCUGGAAUUCACAUUAUUUUUAUAAUUUUUUUUGAGAGAGAGGCAAGUUAAGGGCCCAACUGGGAGUGACUCCAGUGGGUAUUGGAUUGGGCCCCAGCGAGGUACUUUUCGAGUUAGCAGUAGGUAAUUAUCUCAACUGCAGCAUUAUUUAUUUUCAAAUAAAAAGCACAAAGUAAGGUAAGGGAAAGACAGCAAUGUUGAGAAGUACAUUAGAAUGUAUGGAAGGUCCUUGGGGUAACCAGGGACACAUUUAGCUAUGGGUCAAUUAAAAAUAAAUCAUAUAUUGGAAAGCCCUGUACUAUAAAUAUCCUCAUGUGACAGGAUGAGGGACUUCGUCUGUAGCACCUCUGGUGAGGAUGUUAAUGGGAGAGCGCUCUUCUGUCAGCAUAAUUACUCUGCCCUCAUGAGAGGCAGAAUCUAUGUCAGUAGGAGAAUGUCUCCUGCUGACAUUUGCACCCAUGCGGAUAGCGUGUAGGUCACUAUAACUUAUGUCGCUUAGAGGGCUGUUUUUUUCACACUCUUGAACGACGUAAGUUAGAUUGACUUAAGUGGUACUGUAUUGUAGACCUGUCCUGAGAAGGUUCUUGUUACAGAGAAUUGACCGGCUCCUCUCCAAUUAAGGGUUGUUCUGUACUUCAUCUUGUCUUGGUUUUUUUUUCUGAGGGCCCUUGAAUACAGAGAUCAAAAGGGAUGCCCUUGCCACAGCUCUGGUGCAGGGCCUCUGUAUCUUGACCACUCACACUGAGAAGUACUGGUCUAAUCCUAUCAGGAUUGGUCCCAUCAACAAGUUGGGGCCCCUCCUUGAGAUGGUGAGGGCAGCUGAAAAGGCUGAUGCAAGAUGUGCAUUGUUGCCCUACUAAAAGCCAUCCAGACGACAUGUGGAGUUGUAGGAAGAUGAAAGGUCAAUCAGCACCACUGAAGAAAAGCACUUCCACCCAAUAUAGUAGGCGUGUUGGCAAGAUAUCCCACAAUUAACAGCAAAGUUAUCUGGUCUGAGGGCAGAAAGGCAAAUUGUUGCAGGAGAAGGCUGCUUCUGGACUGCUGAGUCCUUUCCCCAAUCUGGCACCAGCAUGCCCAUCAGCAGGGCUUUCCUUGAAGAAUCUUGAACAGACACAUUUGCUUUUAAUGCUCCUUUUAAGGCAGCCAUGUUGCGAUGGGGAAGGGGGGGGGGGGCGGAGUAGGAUUAAAGCAAACUUUGUGCCCCUAACAACUGUCCCCCUAGACCGGUGGUUUUCAAACUUUUUGGCCCAUGACUCACCCUGCCCAACGCAGACCUUUAUGCAGACCACCAGCCAACCACCCAUGAUGACAUAAUGGGUGCAAGAGGGAGUGAGGGCAUGGGGUCUGGCUAUGAGGUUGGGUACAGUGCAGACUGAGGAUGGGGAGGUCUGGCUGGGAGGUUGGGUGCAGGAGUGGUCUGAGGAUGGGGGUCUGGGUAGGAGGUUCUGCCCCCUGUGGCUUCCGUUGGCCGUGAUUCCACCAAUGGGAGCAGUGGCGAAAGCCUCUGGAUGAGUCGUUUCCUGAGCUACUAUUCCCCGAGCUCGGAGGAGGGGGAGCAGCAGUGCUCCAAGCCACUUCCUUCCCUGCAAGCCAGAUCUGGCCCCUGAGGCUGACCACCUACCCCCUUCAGCAAGAAGCCAGCUCACAUGCUCCAACCAAGCCCUGAGCACACUUUUAAGAACCACUGUCUUAGACAAAGAUAUCAAAGCCUAGGGAACUUUGCCUACCAGAGUCAGUCGUGAUAGUUGCUCAGAUAGGUAGCUAUAGCAUUAAGACAGAGACUGCUCCUGAGAGCCAAGAAUGCAAAAUCUUGCUUGGAAAGCUGUAGAGGAGAUGAGCAGAGCAAGAAGUCUUGAUUGCUGAGCUUGGUGGGAGUAGAGAAGAGGCUGCUGCAUGCAGUGGAGAAAGAUUCACUUAGUGCCACAAAACAAAUCCCAGGUAGAUAGGUUUUCUCACAAAAGAAAGGGGGAAAUGGUGGAGCCAUAUUGGCAGUUUAGUAGGAGUUUCUUUAUGCUCUGUAGUUUAGGGGAAAGCAGGACUGGAAAUUGCCUGUUGCUGAUGCCAAGAGGCAGAUCAAACUGGGGAGUUUUCUAGAAGGGAGAGCAAAUCCCUGAUAGGUGACAUGUCUCUUGUGACUCCUUAAACUUUGCAAUAAAACUAGUGCACAACUGGACUAGUCUGUUUUCAGUAUCCCAAAUGACCGAGAUGUCAAAACAAAAACACUAUACAUAGAAAAAAUGUUACAUCGAUGUAUUUUUUAUUAGCAUAGGUUGGUUAACAAAUUUGUUUCUUAAAAGUAUGAGUCCACGUUGUGCUAUCCCAACUGUGCAGACAGAUCUCAGUGCAUACAACGUAUACCACUGACUUUGUGCAGAUGCAAGAGUACACCCACACAGAUCCAGUUGUGGCUUCAGGGCCAUUAUUUCACAUCUGAGUUAAGAGGUAUAUAUGGUUUUUAAAAAAUAAAUGAAGAAACCUUGAGAAUUUUUUUUCUGACUGUCCAUUGAUGGAAUGAGAAGAGCAAAACUGUGAACAAACAUUGCUUCCUAGUCUUGUUUAAGCUCAUUUUAUAUUUAAAGACAGUUAUAUAGAUUCAAGCUUAUAAAUAAUAAAAUAUUAAUAUUUAUUGAAAAGCUCCAACAAUCUAAUUAAACUAAAGAAAGACAACACAAAAUGAACAGACCAUAACUUUAUUGGAGAUAUACUCAGCUACAAUUAUUACAAAAAACUAUUAAAGGUAAUUGUGAUCCAUAAGGUGCAGGCUGCAUAUUUCUGCAGCAUGAUUACAGUAUGAAUGAAUUACAUUUUAUGUCCCUUAAAGACAGCUGCAGCAUGUGAUGGUUUAUUGUUCAUCAAAUUUUGUUAUUCAUUCUACUUGAUUUUAACCAUCUUUUAUGUCAAACUAUUUACAAUAAAAACACCUGCAAUUCCCAGUUCUUGUUCACAAAUACUUGUUUUUUCUACAUAACUUGCUGCUGCAGUGCAUUUUGAGUGCAUCUACAAAGCAAUUUUAAAUAGUCUGUGGUUACUAUCCAAAUUAAAAGGGGGGAGAGUUCUAAAGGACUUAUUGGGUAAAGUGUAAAUAUUUUUAAAAAUACCUUUGAAACAAGUUAAUUUUAAUUGCUAGUGGAAUAUACAGCAAUGACCUCUACUCAUAUUUGCCAACAUAUUUCUGAUGAAGCUACAGCUAAUAUUUAGAUUACACUUCAGGGUUGUAAGUUGUAGUUUUAUGUUUUUAAAUUUAAUGCAUAAAGAUAAAUCCAUUUUAACUUCUUGAAAAUUAAAGUGGUUGAAAAAUACAAAUGUGUCAAAAAUCAAGUACCACAGGUCAAAAUCCUUCUUAGUGAAUUCAUAACAGAUCCAAUGACCUUCAAUGAGGCUGUUCAAGUGGGAAAAAAAGUUAAUGAGAUGUGGCCAAAUACAGAUAAAUGUAACAUCACAGCAAAUUAUGGGGGAAUUUGUUGUAUUUAGCUUCAUAAGCGCUGCUAAGACUGCAGUCUAAAGCUGUUUAGAUUUUCUGUAUAGAUAGGUGUGUUUACAGUAUGUAUGUCAUACACAUAAGCACACAUAUUUCUCAGAUUGUGACUAUUUUUAAAAACAAGGACAGAAACCAAAACUCAGACAUGAACAAUUAGUGGCAUAUCCUCAGCUGAUGUUAAUGAAAUUAUUCUAAGCCUCAGUCUAAACCAUGCCAAUUUAUAUCAACUAAGGAUGUGGCCCUGUGUCUAUUAGGCUCUGCAUUAUACUCUGAACUGAUACUCAGACGGGCUUCAAUUCUUGUUAAAUUCUGUACUCUGUGGUCACAGCAUAGUUUCAUAUAAUGAGACUGAAAAUAGUAGGCUUUUUUAUAUAAAUGUUAGCAGCAUGAAGCUGAAUAAACACUUCAGCAGCCACUACAGAUACUUCAAUAUCCAGAAAAAGGGGAGAUUUAGUUAAAAGUUGAUCAAAUUGUUAUAGGCUCUCUUCUUGUAAAAACUACACUAUGUGCUCAACAUGUUGGUUUGUUCUGAGAUAACUACAGAAGUGUCAGAGGUCAUUCUAAUUUUGAUUACUUCACAUAACAGUAAAAAUGAUGUAAUAAAAAACAAUAGCUUUAAAAUACAAUCAAGAUUUUCAUAACAUGUCUUUGUUGUGUUUUCAUACACAGUAAAAAUGCCACAGACAUUACAAAUGACCUAUAUAAGUUGUGCAAGUAAAUGACACAUUGCAGGCAUUAUAAUUAUCUUUUUCAAAUUCAGUAAAUCAAAACAGCAGCAAGGCCAAACCACAUUUUUCCUCUCUGUUAAGCAUAUUUUUCCUUGAAAUGAGGUAAAGCAUGGUACCAAGUGCAAUGCUUAUUUGUGCUACAUGAAUAGAACAGCGCAAAAAAAGCCAUAAAAAUAAAAAUGCAGCAUAGUUAGGAGGACUGUUUAAA